GACGAACGCUGGCGGCGUGCUUAACACAUGCAAGUCGAACGGAAAGGCCCUGCUUGCAGGGUACUCGAGUGGCGAACGGGUGAGUAACACGUGGGUGAUCUGCCCUGCACUUCGGGAUAAGCUUGGGAAACUGGGUCUAAUACCGGAUAGGAGCCAUCUUUAGUGUGGUGGUUGGAAAGUCUUUUCGGUGUAGGAUGAGCUCGCGGCCUAUCAGCUUGUUGGUGGGGUAAUGGCCUACCAAGGCGGCGACGGGUAGCCGGCCUGAGAGGGUGUACGGCCACAUUGGGACUGAGAUACGGCCCAGACUCCUACGGGAGGCAGCAGUGGGGAAUAUUGCACAAUGGGCGCAAGCCUGAUGCAGUGACGCCGCGUGGGGGAUGAAGGCCUUCGGGUUGUAAACUCCUUUCGCUAGGGACGAAGCUUUUUGUGACGGUACCUAGAUAAGAAGCACCGGCUAACUACGUG
rnacentral:rRNA from 1 species